CGCCUUUUGAAUAUUAUAUCAGGUAAUGCCUGCCCAGUGACCAUGUGUUCAACGGCCGCGGUAUUCUGACCGCGCGAAGGUAGCGUAAUCACUUGUUUUUUAAAUAAAGACUAGUAUGAAUGGCCCCACGAGGACUUAACUGUCUCCCUUGUCCAAUCAGUGAAACUGAUCUCCUCGUGCAGAAGCGAGGAUUCUCUCAUAAGACGAGAAGACCCUAUGGAGCUUUAAACUAAAAUCAACUAUUACCCACCUAUCCUCUAAGGGCCUAAUAAAUAGCUAAAUAUGCUUGAUUUAAGUUUUAGGUUGGGGCGACCAUGGAGAAAAAGAAAUCCUCCCUGAUGACCACAAACCAAGAGUCACUACUCUAAGUAUUAAGACGCUUAACUCUAAUUGACCCAUUUUAUGAUCAACGAACCAAGUUACCCUAGGGAUAACAGCGCAAUCCAUUUCAAGAGUCCCUAUCGACAAGUGGGUUUACGACCUCGAUGUUGGAUCAGGGCAUCCAAGUGGUGCAACCGCUACUAAUGGUUCGUUUGUUCAACGAUUAAAGCCCUACGUGAUCUGAGUUCAGACCGGAGCAAUCCAGGUCGGUUUCUAUCUAUGACUGAACUCUUUCUAGUACGAAAGGACCGAAAAAGUAGAGCCUAUGCCCACCCAUGCUCUAGCCUAAAACUUUUGAAAUAAUCUAAAAUAGUAAUAAGCCUGUUUUUAUUUUCCCUAAACCAGGGC
rnacentral:rRNA from 1 species